rnacentral:lncRNA from 1 species
CCAAAAAACAAAAAAAGAAGAAGAAGCACAACUAUGGCAAGCUGAAUAGGCAAUCAAAUUAGCUUUGGCAUUCAUUAUAAUUUAUGCAAAUUAGUGGAGCUCCAUAAACAUCACUUGUCAUACCACUUAACUUGUAUUGCUUCUUAUUGAACUAAGCAAAAGGUCAUCGAUACAUACAAUACCAAAUAUGACAGCCAAGCUCAGGAAAUCUUAUGUUUGUGAACUCAGAAAUACAUAUCGUAUUAAAUGGAGGGCAAUCUCAGAUAUAGGCUUGAAUUUUGGCCCCUCUUCCUGAGGGAGUGAUUCAAAUUAACCACAUGAUGGCGACUGUAAUAUCUAUUUUUUAAAAUCUGUAUAAAAAGCCUUCUACAACAUCAGGUCAGCAUCCCUGCUGGAAAUGCCUUAUGAAAUCAACUUUAGCUAGAGAGCAAUUCUUGUACAUUUUGUGUUGCCAAAGUUCCUUUUAGGAAGAACUUUCUUUUUGCCUUAAUCAAAUAGAAGAACCAGUAUGAGGCUUAAGCAGACUCCAAAAUCUGCAUCUUCACUCAGGAAGAAAAUUUCUAUCUGCAACUGCAUGCAUAGAUUUUUCUAGAUAACUAAACAUAUAAACUGGAUUAGAAUUCUAAUUGAGCUUAUUAUACCAAAUUCCCAGACUUUCUAAAUAAAAUAUUACAGGCUCCGUUCGGUACAACAAUUAAAAAAUAUAUCACUAACUUUGAUCUUAAAAGAACCAGAUUUUCCAAAUACCAAAACUUAAUUUGCACAUGCUACAGAAAAAUCAUUAAUUUUCUUCCCUUGCAUAUCAAUGUUUCCAAUUGUGCCAAAAAAAAAAAAAAAAAAAGAUUACGAAGUAACCACUUCGCUAAAUUGCCCACCAGAACCUCAAGAAAAAAGCAAAACAAUGAAAAGUUUCUCAGAAAAUCUGCAUUCGAAUUAUUAACUCCAUCAAUCCAAAGACUGAGCAACUAUAAGAUCACAAUCUGGAGGAAACUAAAAUUCAUGGUAACAGUUUUUGUUCAGAAGCAAGACACCAUCACUAAUCUAACAUAACUUUGACAUUUAUAAUUUUGCAAGGUUCAGAACUAAAAUUUUUUGUCCAGAUUGAGCACACAGACCAACAACAUGACAUAAGUACUAAGGGUGGCAAUUGGGCAGGUCAAUAUUGGGUUUUAAUCAAGUGGGUCAUAACCCAAGCCACCAACUAUGAAGUGGGUUAAUCUUGGGUUGGGUCUAGUUGGGUCAACACAAAACCCAUAGACCCAACUAUGACCCACCAUACAUUACUAUGCACUGUCAACAUUCACACUGUUACAUUCAUAAACACAUCAUUUAACACACGUUCGCUUGGAAAAAAUACCUGCACUCUGUCCGACACAGUUUACUACUCACACACACACACACACACAGAGACCAGAUUUUCACAUUUCAUUCAUCUGUAAAGCCUUUUGUAUUGCAUUUGAUCCAUCCAUUAAUAUGGGGGCUAGCAAUUCUGGUUUGACGAAAAAUAAUUUACUGAAUUACCUUGGCUUUACCACUUUUCCUGUUUCCACAAAUGGAAAAAGAAAAGAAGAAAACAAACAAAUCGGAAAAAGUCAGAGAGUUUCAAGAGAGAAGUAGCUACUUGCAUAUGGAAGAAGCCAAGUAAGUAGAGAAAGAGUCAAUGGUAGCCAGAAUUUGAUCUAAAGAGACUGCAAUAAACAUGGAUCAGGAAAUGGUGGUUCAGGUGUAUGGUACUUUGGAAUUUGUUUUAGUAUUUCGUUUGCCUCUGACAAAAGGCUCCUGAAACCCGAAUCAGCUUGGCAAUGGCAAUUGGUGUGUGAUUUUUUAUUUGCUCUUAUGAAUACUUGGAUUUUAUAUUUGACUUAUUUGGCUGCCCAAUUAAAAAUCCAACCCACUUGGAAAAGAUUUGGGUUUCUUAUACCCAAAACCCAUAACCCAACUGACCCAACCUUCUGUAUUUGCAGGUGGCUUGGGCAGGUUGUUGGGUUCAGGUUUAAUUUGCCAGCCAUAAGACUCCGGAACACUGCCAUCAAGCUUCCCUUCCCAAAACCUGCCCUACAGAUGAAAACCUACAUGUCAUAAAUGAUAGAAAUAAUGGCUAACAACAAACUGCGUCCAAGGAAAUUACAUUUUGACUGCACAUUUUAGCAAAACACCCUUCCAAAGGCCUGAAACAAGCAGGACUUAAAGCUUGAACAAGACCUCACUCUUUUCCUUGAGAAUAGUAUAUUCUGAUUCUACAACCCCCCCAACCCCAAAAAAAAAAAAAAGAGCAACCCCUUUCUUCCCCCUUUAUGUCUGAUAACAGAGUUGAAAAUGACUUGGAAAACAGUAUAUUCAUCUUAUGCAAGGGCAAAAAUAAAAGCUCGUAUCUCACCAAAGGAUGCCAAGUCUCAAGCAAAAGUGGCAUGGCAUUAAAACCUUUCAAAUACUCUCAUGUUUUUAAUCCUUCUAUUUGUUCUUUUUCUGUUAGCAUCUUUAUUCCUUCUUUGAAUUAUGGAACUUGUCCAUGACAAAAGAAGUCCCUCCAAUAUGAGGAAACAUUUGCUCACACAACCACUAGCAUUACGAAGAUACACAUUGAUUUCAGAUGGGUGCAUCCCACCAUCUUAGCUAUUGUAAGAAUAAAUCACGUUAACUAAACCAUGAAAAAAAAAGGAACUUAUUAAAAAUCAAAUCAAAACCAGAACCUCCUAGAGCUGACCAUCAAGUGUUCCUAUUUUAAAUUUUGUACAGGUUAAUUUUCAGUUUGUCUUAUAAUGUAGCACAGAACUCCUUCCCCUAAGAUAUGCUUCUUAGACAGAUUAAAUUUUCCGGGCACAACAAAAGGAUAGUGGAGAUAAUAAAUUUGAAACUCAACAGGCAUCAAAAUAGGCAAUAUGCAUAUUCAGCAUUCAAGACCAUCAGUCAUCAGGAUAAAAAGAAUUCAACGCAAUAGGGAAAGGACAUGUCAAGACAUUCAAGUGAUAAAGAAGCAAGAAUACUUGAGACUUAAUGCAUUUGCCAUCAGAAACCAAAAGGACAAAAUCCUUUCAUUUCCUUUCAUGGGGACAAGCAUUAAUCUCCUUAUAUAUACUGAACAUAGUUCAAUUACAAUAUGCUAGUAGAGGAAUCUCAGGGACAAAAUUACAUUACCUAGUUCAGUAAAACCAGGCUCAAUUUUAGCCUGAUGUAGAAGGGUAUUGACAACUUCCUUCUGGCUCAUGUAAAGCUGAAGACAUCUUUCAAUAAGAUUUUGCACCUGCCAUCAAAGAUAUACGUGUAAAAAUGACACACCUUGAAGACAGGCAUCUAAAAGUAGGAAUUAAAAGAGUCCAUUAAACUAGAAGUCAUUUGGUCUCAUUCACAUGGAAAGAAACACAUGAUAAAACAGUCAAGACACUAGUCAUACCUUAGGAUGGUUAAGCUCGACUGCCUUAUGAUCUAAGUGGCAAAUGGCUAAAUGACAGAUGCAUAAAACAAGAUGUCUUUGUCAAGAAAAUUCAACAGUACAAUUACUUGGUGCCAGCUCCACUUUGUCAUUAUUUUUCACAAUUCCUCCUUUUCAGAAAAGUAGGUCGACAAAAAAACUCCCCCCAAAAUUAUUUUAAAAAAAAGGAAAAAUCCCAAAGAAGGCCAAAACAAGGAAGGAAAAGUGAAGCACAUCAGUGAAUGAAAUGUAAAGCUUGCAGAGAGUCUAAAUUAUAAAAAAAAAGAAAUUGACUCUUUACUUAGCUCAUUUGCAUAUCUAACUUGUGUCAAUUUCAAAUGUGCUUCAGCUUAAACGCAAGACUAAUCUCCUAAAGGAGCACAGCAGGGGUGAAAUUUUUAAGUCAUGGCUUUGUUCACACGAUAAUGUACACAAUAUCAUACAAAGUUGUAUACAUCUGAAUAUGUGAUAUUUCACUUUAACAUCGCAGCAGUAUGUAUGAAAGCCAUGCAAUACAAGGGCAGAAAGUAUCCUUCAAAAGAGUGGAAAAAGUAACACAUUCAACCACAGGUACAAUGAUAGCCGAAAUAUUCUUCUAAAGUGCAGAAAAUGCGAGAUGUGCUCAAGCUGGUGCUCAUACACUAAUUGAAUAAGCUAAGUUUGGGUCACUGCAUACUGACUAUAAACAAAAAAUUCACCAUAAAGCCACAGUUUAAAACUUCAGGGACCAAACCAAUAAAUAAAUAACUAAUCAGAAUUGAAGCUUGAUGCUAGAGAUUGUCUAUGACUCCUGGAACAAGUUGGGAACAAUAUGCACAUCCUAAACAGUCGCACAAAGUUCAAAGAAGUGAUUCAACACUGAUUCAAGCCAAACCAGACACUUUAGGAGGAAAAGAUUCCCCAAAAAAAAAAAAGAGAGAAGAGUAAAUCAUACAGUAAGUCCUACAAGGGAGAUAUAUUUAUGAUUCAGAUAUACCACGACCAUCAAUUGACUAUGUAGAAUUAACUCCUUAGCAAAUAAAUGGGUAAGAAACCUGAAGCCUAAAACCUGAACAACUUACCAACUGUAUAUCUUCACGUGUAACUUUUGUAUCCUCUCCACUAGCCAUAAUUCAAGUUUCCAGCUGGAUGAAUGCUGCAAAUAUUUUAACGUCCUUUACCUUACAUACCAGGGUAUUAAUGAACCAAUUUGUGUUCCAAUGUCCUUGAUGCAAAUCCAGACAACCAACUGUAUACCACCUGCUAUUCAUGUAUUCCACAGUAAAAUGCACUAUUCCAAAGCAAAUCCACAUUAUUCAUUAAUAACGGAAUAAGUGUAGCUGAUAUGAGCAUAGCAACAAAGAUAACAUGGAUCACAAAAUCAUUAUGAAUCAACCCAUGCUCAACAUCCUUGAUUUUGCAUCAGAAACAAACAUGCCAAUUACUUAGUCCUAAAAGACGAGAGCAAUUGGAACGUCAUCACUGAAAAUGUAAAAAGAGGUGGCAUCAUUAUGUUCUGUUUUUGGUUAGUCCUAUAAGACAAAAGAGAAAUUGGAUGCAACACUGAAAAUGUAAAAAGAGGUGGCAUCAUCAUGUUCUGUUUUUGGUUAGUCCUAUAAGACAAAAGAGAAAUUGGAUACAACACUGAAACUGUAAAAAGAGGUGGCAUCAUAAUGUUCUGUUUUUGGUUAGUUAAAAUAACUGAUCCCGCUGCAAUCUAACUUGGAAUUGAUCUGAUCAGAUUUUAUAUCUGCAAGUCCAUUACUCAAGCCCAUUAAAAUUUCAUCAUCAUUUCAAACGUCAAAGAAGACAUUUAAAGCACUAUUUAUUCCAACAUUUGAAGCACCACUUAAUCCUAAACCAAAGACAUAAAAAAUAUCUUUGAUUUCAUUUUGUUGUCCCCUUAUGCUUGUGGGAUGUCUUUAUUUGAAUUGUCGAGAAAAUACAAGAGUGCUCCGUUAAUUAACCUUAGGAUGUGACACGUAUGCAGGUACUGUUUCUUAGAUAGAUUUUUCAUUUUCAGAAUAAAGACAAAGAAAAACUCAUUUUUUCCUUUUCAAUUUUCCUCCUUUUUAUUAAAUGUCCCACACUAAUUGUCCAAAUGCAAAUAAUCAUAAAAGUUGGAAGUCAAACGUUAACAGUGCUUUUUACUUGCAUGUAAGAGAUUUUGGAAAGAUUACCUACAAAAACAUCUUUUGGAUGACACGACAUGCAAUAAAUGUACUUCUACUUAAAAAUCUGGGGUUCCCAUAGAGUACAAUAAAAUCAGUACCGAAGAAUACUAGCAAGCCUUUUAAGCGACGUUGGAUAACAAAAAAAAAAACAGAUGGCAUGAUGCCUAAGACCUGGUUAUUCCAUCAUUAACCUGAUUACUUUCCUAUAAAAAUCAUAAAUCUGAAUCAAAACUGGAUUCUAUAUCUUCAAACUUGAAUUGAUUACACAUCUUACAACAUAUAGUGUUCUUUCUUUCACUCUUCAUAGAUACCUAACCCCACCUAAAGAAUGUACACUUCGUUUUCUUUCAAUUCGAUUAAAAUCUUGUGAUAAACCAUAAGGUCCCGAAUUUUCUUUUCCUGGCUACAUCACAGUUUUCCUUUUACUCUUCCAAUUUAAUCCUGGGUUCUUUUUUCCUGACAUGUAAACAAAACCCCCGCCACGGUACAAUCACCCAUCAGCACUUCACAUACCUAACCAAGGAAUAAGACUUUUAAUGCUCAUAACAAUAUCCUCAAUCUUCCGUCAUAUUUCCAUCAUGGUUCUCACAAGUGCCCGUUUCUCAAGUUUUAUCCACAGUUUUCAGUCUUUAACUCCCUCGAAAUUAAUAUUCAAUGAACUUAACAAACAUCAAUCCUUAUCCAGUAUUUAAAUACACAUAUACAGCAAGGAAAUCCAGGGGAUUUGGGGGAUAGGAAAUACAACCACAGCACAAGCAAAGUCAUAUGCUCUCCAUGCAAAUAAAUCAAUGAGAACCAUGGAAAACAACCCAUAAAACACAAUUAAAAUCAUGCUAUGGGCCUUUUUUGUUUCUCUCCGCUCAAGUAUAUGAAGAUAACAACCUACUAAUCAUACAAGACUAUAAAUUUCAUACAUGCAAUACUUUUAGGCCCACAAUCAGGUACUGCCACCUUCUUUCACUAUAUAUAGGUUUCAGAAUGACAAACACACUACAGUUGAAUAAUCAAACAUCCAAAAAAACAAUAAAAUUCACAAAGAAUCACUUUUUCCAAUCAAAAUUCUUUGAAUAAUUCAGGUUUCAGAAUCAUAACCAAAACAAAAAUCAAACAACCAAACAUCAAAUCAACUUCACAAGAAAUCAUACCUUUCACACAAGCAAACACAAAUAAACCUGAUUAAUUACAAAUACAAAACCCUAGAAACUCCUCAAAUUCUUGUACACAAGACUCCUAUGCAAUUAAAUUAACCUCGCGCAUGCAAACAUGUGUCUACGUAAAAUUUAACGAUCAUAGAACAAAAGAUUUUGUUCAACAA